CACUUGCUGUGACUAUAAACUGGUGAUGAAUAUGCUGUUAUACAAUGUUAAUAUGCUGGGAUGUAUAUCAAAGAAAAGUUGGAACACAGAGCUGUGGGAAUUUGAGACUAUUGCAGAUGCCAAAUCAGGACUUGCACUAGAAAAGUGGAACUACCUCCAACAAGAUUAACUUCUGGACAUACAGGUAUGUGAUUCAGCACGAGGCACACUGCACUGUAUCUAUAUACCUGAGUGAAUGUAAAUAUGCUUCUGCAUUAUUAUCAGGCUCAGCCUUGUUCUAUUUAUUUCUCCUUCUUGUGUCCCUUUGGCAAAAGACAAAGUGAUAACAAUUGCACUGAUUAACAGGCAAAGACUAUACUUGCUUUGCAUACUUUUUGAACACUAACCUUAUUGGUUUCCAGAGAAAUUAGAAAAGGAGACAUACAAGUCUACCAGUCCUUUUUGUGUCUUGUACGUUAUGUUCUGCUAAAAAGAGAAGAAAAAGAAUGAAUGAGAGGCAUAACAAGGAGGAGCCUGCAGUAAAAAAAGAGAAUUGAAAACUGCUGAGAAGAUCAGGAAAUUAAUAUAAAGCCAAUUCCCCAACUGAUUUUAAAAAUAAUUUUUUCUAGGGACCUAAAUGAACCUUUCAAGUUUAAUGCAACCCAUGAAAGAUUGCGGGGAAAAGUGCAAACCUAGAGGACAGGACUGUGUUUUGUAGGAAAGAAUGAGUAGAGAACUUUAUUUAAUAAGAACUUUCAUUUUUCUUAUGUCUUGUGCUACAUUAUCCUAUUUUAAAAGUGCAUAGUUCUAAUUUUUGUCUAAAUGCAAGUUAGCUCUGAGUUUAUAAGACCCUUUAAAGCACUAAAGUAUGCAGCAUUUGGAAAAGCAAUAGUGCUUCAGAAUUUACACUAACCUGGGUACCUGCCACCAGCAACCAAACUCCUUACUACUGCUUCACCAAAGCACUGAGGAGCCUAAGUUUGUAACUGGAAUCUUACAGGAGGAUGACUUGGACUUUCUGGAUGUCUUAGAUUGCUGAGGAGUAUUUACUCUUCAUUUGAAAGGUACUUUUCCUUCUAUUCUAAUAACUGUUGUACCAAUCAGAUACCAAUCACACCGUUUAAAUCAGAAGGAACCAAAUGAGGAGGUGGGGGGAAGAGACACAUGGACCAAGACGUUCCUGUGGGUAUCAGCAGGAGUCAGAGUAGUUUAGAUGAUGGAGGCUGAUACCAGGAGACAAAAACUGGUCUGAUGUUAUUUUGAAGUUAAAUAUCAUGGGGAAAGAACAAGAUAACUGGACUAAAAUAAAAUCAGUUUUUCAAGCUUAAAAUCCUAGACUAUAUAGCUGUUAAUAAAAUAAGCUGAAAGUACACAUUCUGAUCAUAACUGAUCAAUGUUAUUAAUUUUUAAUUAAUUUAAUUAAAAAUGUUUAUAUUUUUUCUUUGUUCUAGGGAAAACACUCGACAUAAGAACAUAUUUCCUCUAUGAACUUUACAUUCUUUUCAAUUACCCUCCCAAAGCUCUAAGCACUGCUAAUCAAACAGCUACAUGUUCAAAGUCAACGGUUUGGAAUGCCAGCAUUCAGGCUUUACUGGAGACCCUAACUUGACUCUUAACACAUUAAAACACAAAAUAUAAUGACACAGUUGUUUUAAAAUCCUUGAGACUUUCAGGGUUCAACAUUCAGCCCUUUGCUGCAAACCACACAGCUUUUCUAGCUCAGUACUGGUUACUGGACAUUUCUCCCCAGCCCGUUUUUACUAACUCCUAAAUCAAUUCACACAGUCACUAGAAG
ensembl:lncRNA